rnacentral:rRNA from 1 species
GACGAACGCUGGCGGCAGGCCUAACACAUGCAAGUCGAGCGGAGCGGCGGACGGGUGAGUAAUGCCUAGGAAUCUGCCUGGUAGUGGGGGAUAACGUCCGGACACGGGCGCUAAUACCGCAUCCUAUCAGAUGAGCCUAGGUCUGAUUCGGGAGUGGGUGGGGUAAAGGCCUACCAAGGCGACUAUCCGUAACUGGUCUGAGAGGAUGAUCAGUAACACUGGAACUGAGACAAGGUGCAGAAUCCUACGGGAGGCAGCAGUGGGGAAUAUUGGACAAUGGGCGAAAGCCUGAUCCAGCCAUGCGGCGUGUGUGAAGAAGGUCUUCGGUGUGUAAAGCACGUUAAGUUGGGAGGCGUUACCAACAGAAUAAGCACCGGCUAACUUCGUGCCAGCAGCCGCGGUAAUAC